CGAAAAGGCUUGUACCAGGAGGCCCCAACCCGCUUCACAACUGACAGAGCUGCCUAAUCAUUCAGUAGCUUAUGCAAAUCACAAGGACUGGGUAGUGAUUGUGGUGCCUUCCACAAAUUACACAUAAUCAACAUACAAAAAGCUGCGAGGAGCAUUUACAGGUCAUACUUAUGAGCAGGAGAGGAAUUAUUGUCAGAAAACAGAUCCAUGGCUAGCACACCUGGACAUCACAUUCAGUGGCACAUUAGUAGGCACAAGAAUUUGAGUGAUGGGCAUGGGAUCACCGUUGUCAUGUUGUAGCUCUUAACAACCACAAAUACCAUUUGGUUUGAAGAAGGAAUGGCAACUGAUCGUGUUUUUUUUUAAUGCUAUGUAUACCCCGUUCCUUACAUGUUUGUGAAUUUUCUCUAUGCUGCAUUCAACUUCAAGAGAAAAAAGAAAAUCAUCAUUUAUUUUAUUCAACCAAAAGAAAUUCCAACUCUUGAAAUUUACCGAAGGCAUGCCAAAGUCAAGCAGAUUUUCAAACAGAACCACCUUGCAAGCAGAUUUUCAGAUAACACCACCUUGAAAAGCAAAUUUUCAGGUAGU